CUGCAGCCAAUUAAGCCAACUCCCUUCCUUCCCUGUGAGGUCAACAGUGCAGUGGCUGCAAACAGCAGCCUGCUUGGUAGUGUAUGCAACCUGUUGCAUGCAUGCAUUGCCCUAAGGAACCUUGGAGACAGCC
ensembl:snoRNA SNORA70 Small nucleolar RNA SNORA70